UGGAUUGCAUUCGCGACGUCAUCUUAAAGUUCUGUUAAAGGGUUAAUCCAGAAUUUGUGGGGGAUAAAUUUGUGAAAUUUAUUGUGGCGGAAAAUUCUGUUUGCCGGGGGUCGGAUGGGCAUGCGCAUUUAUACAUUUAUCUGAAUGGACUCUGUGACUACUUGCGUAGUUUAUCAUCCUUGUCCUUUCGGGUAAUUCCAAGUUUACAUUUAUCUGAAUGGACUCUGUGACUACUUGCGUAGUUUAUCAUCCUUGUCCUUUCGGGUAAUUCCAAAUUAUUAAAGUUUAAGCUGCUUGAACAGAAUAAAAAAUAGUAGCAAUACCGUAGGGUAAAAAACGUUUAGGUGUCAAAUCGCUGGCUGAGCGAUAAGUUGUAUUUUAAUGUCCGAUUAAGAUUGUAAAAAGGUACAAGUAAUAUUAUCGCAAGUGUGGCGAUAAAAGUGAUCACAAGUGUAGUGAUCAAGUAAAAGUAUUAUCGCAAGUGCGAAAAAGUGUGAUCACAAGUGUAGUGAUCAAUGUCCGAUUAAGUAUAUUAUCGCAAGUGCGAAAAAGUGUGAUCACAAGUGUAGUGAUCAAUGUCCGAUUAAGUAUGUAAAAGGUACAAGUAAAAUAUUGGAUCACAAGUGUAGUGAUCAAGUAAGUGUUAACGCAAGUGCGCAAAAAGUGUGAUCACAAGUGUAGUGAUCAAUGUCCGAUUAAGUAUGUAAAAGAUCACAAGUGUAGUGAUCAAGUAAGUGUUAUCGCAAAUGCGCAAAAGUGUGAUCACAAGUGUAGUGAUCAAUGUCCGAUUAAGUAUGUAAUUCGCAAGUGCGAAAAAAGUGCGAUCACAAGUGUAGUGAUCAAGUAAAAGUUUCAGUGUGUCAUUAAAAGUGUCAUGGCGAUUAUCAUGUAAAAGUGGAUACAAUGGUCAAGCGAUUGGUAGAACUAGGUUUAGCCCAGCAAAGUAUAUGGUUCUUCCUAGUUCGGUCGCUUGAUGAGCAAUAGCAUUUUUUAUUUUGGGUACACGGUGUUGCUACUAUAACGGUGUUACUUCACGUUUUGUAAUUUUAUCGUGUGCUCAUCCACCUCCGGUAUGUAUAUUUUCAAAGUAACAGGUUUCCACGAGUGAGUAGCCGAUUUUUCGUUGGGCUCGUGGUUACCACCGGCUGUUUUUUCGCUGCGGCCUUUUAUAUCCCACUUUUUACUCGUAUAAUAUUAAAGAGAUCUGUUAGUGAAUACUUUGUGCAUUCUAUUACAUUUUGUGAUGUUUAUUGGGAGGCAAAAUAUUUUGGAAUCGGGUCAUUAAACUAGUUAAAUGGA